rnacentral:rRNA from 1 species
UACGGAGGGGGUUAGCGUUGUUCGGAAUGACUGGGCGUAAAGCGCGCGUAGGCGGAUCAGGAAGUUGGGGGUAAAAUCCCGGGGCUCAACCCCGGAAUGGCCUUCAAAACUCCUGGUCUUGAGUUCGAGAGAGGUGAGUGGAAUUCCGAGUGUAGAGGUGAAAUUCGUAGAUAUUCGGAGGAACACCAGUGGCGAAGGCGGCUCACUGGCUCGACACUGACGCUGAGGUGCGAAAGCGUGGGGAGCAAACAGG